CCUACGGGAGGCAGCAGUAAGGAAUAUUGGUCAAUGGAGGCAACUCUGAACCAGCCAUGCCGCGUGCAGGAUGACGGCCCUAUGGGUUGUAAACUGCUUUUAUACAAGAGAAAACCCUGGUACGUGUACCAGGUUGAUAGUAUUGUAAGAAUAAGCAUCGGCUAACUUCGUGCCAGCAGCCGCGGUAAGACGAAGGAUGCAAGCGUUAUCCGGAUUCAUUGGGUUUAAAGGGUGCGUAGGCGGACUGAUAAGUCAGUGGUGAAAUCUCUUUGCUUAACAAAGAAACUGCCAUUGAUACUGUCGGUCUAGAGUAUAGAUGACGUUGGCGGAAUAUGACAUGUAGUGGUGAAAUACUUAGAUAUGUCAUAGAACACCGAUUGCGAAGGCAGCUAACGAAACUAUAACUGACGCUGAGGCACGAAAGUGCGGGGAUCAAACAGGAUUAGAUACCCUGGUAGUCCGCACCGUAAACGAUGAUUACUCGUUGUUGGCGAUAUGACAGUCAGCGACCAAGCGAAAGCGAUAAGUAAUCCACCUUGGGGAGUACGCCGGCAACGGUUGAACGUUAAGGAAUUGACGG
rnacentral:rRNA from 1 species